rnacentral:rRNA from 1 species
GUUGAACGCUGGCGGCAGGCCUAACACAUGCAAGUCGAACGAGUCGCGCACGGGUGUGUCAUGUCUGGGACACUCCCUGAAGGCGGGGGAUACCUCGUGGAAACGGUAGCUAAUACCGCAUACCAUCAGCUGUGCCCAGAUGGGAUUAGCUAGUGGGUGGGGUAACGGCUCACCAAGGCGACGGUCCCUAGCUGGUCUGAGAGGAUGACCAGCCACACUGGAACUGAGAAACGGUCCAGACUCCUACGGUAGGCAGCAGUGGGGAAUAUGUCACAAUGGGCGCAAGCCUGAUGCAGCCAGGCCGCGUUUAUGAAGAAGGCCUUCGGUUUGUAAAGUACUUUCAGCGGUGAGGCGUUACCCGCUGAAGAAGCACCGGCUAACUCCGUGCCAGCAGCCGCGGUAAUAC